rnacentral:rRNA from 1 species
ACUCAAAGGAAUUGACGGGGGCCCGCACAAGCGGAGGAACAUGUGGUUUAAUUCGAUGAUACGCGAGGAACCUUACCUAGGCUUAAAUGUAGAUUGCAUGACUUGGAAACAGGUCUUUCCUUCGGGACUAUUUACAAGGUGCUGCAUGGUUGUCGUCAGCUCGUGCCGUGAGGUGUCGGGUUAAGUCCCAUAACGAGCGCAACCCUCAUCGCCAGUUGCCAGCAUGUAAUGAUGGGGACUCUGGUGAAACUGCCGGUGUAAACCGUGAGGAAGGUGGGGAUGACGUCAAAUCAGCACGGCCCUUAUGUCUAGGGCUACACACGUGUUACAAUGGCCAAUACAGUGGGCAGCCACCCGGCGACGGGGCGCUAAUCCAUAAAGUUGGUCUUAGUUCGGAUCGGAGUCUGCAACUCGACUCCGUGAAGCUGGAUUCGCUAGUAAUCGCAGAUCAGCCAUGCUGCGGUGAAUACGUUCCCGGGCCUUGUACACACCGCCCGU